UCAAACAAGAUUUAAGAUACUUCUCAUUCAGGGCAUGAUUAAAGUAGAAUUAAGAAUUCAAGGGAUGACAACUAAAUUAAAUAGGGAAGAUGAGUGGAAGUGGUGUUUGACAAGGGAGGAGGAAGAGAUAGAGGGAAGAUGGGUAAUAACUCCCCCUCCUCAGAGUAAUAAUAAUCCCCCCAAAAGGCAUGGUCUUACCUAGAGAGAUGGUCUGAUACAUUCUGAGUAAGAAAGACUCCAAUAACAGAGUCCAGAACAGAUCCUUUCCAAGGAGUGAAGCGUCUAUCUCCUGUAUAAAGCAAACAUGUUGUUAGUGACCAACUUCAUUACUCUUGGCUGAAGGUAAAUUAUGGUAUACUAUAAUUUCAGCUUUUAUGUAAGUUUCUAAGCUUUGAAACCCGUGUUAUGAAUUCAAUCAUUAUUGAUGAUGAUGCAUGUCUAAAUUGAAAAUUGAUUAACGGAUAA